UCGCGUUGAGGCCCUUCUACAGUGAAGAGGGAAACGAGAUAUGGUAGGGUAAGGUGCGAAAAGAGAUCAAAAGACGAGGAUAAAAGGAAAAUGUAGAAUAGAUCAUUGUUAUCGAGGGGAAGGUGACAACGAGGCAUAAUGUAAAAUUUAAUCAGGAGGACAGUUAGACUGGUUGAAGAACUAGGAUGGGGUGGGAUGAAAAGAGGGAAAGCAAGGAUUACUUGAAGUUAGAGAAGUCAAUAUACCACUGGGUGGGGUAAGCUGCCCAAGCGAAAUAUGGGGUGCUGUUCCUCCAAUUUACAUUGGGUCUCACUCUCACAGAGGACAGCAAGGGCAUUAUAGAAGGGGGAGUUAAAGUGCUGAGCAAUCGGGAGAUCAUGUUGGUCUAGACUCUAGGCAGACAGAGUGGAGGUGUUCAGCAAAACUAUCGCUGAGCCUACACUUGGUCUCGCCGAUAUAUAGGAGUCCACACCUGGACCAGCGG